rnacentral:rRNA from 1 species
UCGAACGGAGAAUUGCUAGCUUGCUAAUAAUUCUCUAGUGGCGCACGGGUGAGUAACACGUGAGUACCUGCCCCCAAGAGUGGGAUAGCCCCGGGAAACUGGGAUUAAUACCGCAUAAAGCAAUAAAGCAGCAAUGCGCUUGGGGAUGGGCUCGCGUCCUAUUAGUUAGUUGGUGAGGUAACGGCUCACCAAGGCGAUGACGGGUAGCCGGUCUGAGAGGAUGUCCGGCCACACUGGAACUGAGACACGGUCCAGACACCUACGGGUGGCAGCAGUCGAGAAUCAUUCACAAUGGGGGAAACCCUGAUGGUGCGACACCGCGUGGGGGAUAAGGUCUUCGGAUUGUAAACCCCUGUCAUGUGGGACAUUAAAAGAUAGUACCACAAGAGGAAGAGACGGCUAACUCUGUGCCAGCAGCCGCGGUAAUACAGAGGUCUCAAGCGUUGUUCGGAAUCACUGGGCGUAAAGCGUGCGUAGGCGGUUUCGUAAGUCGUGUGUGAAAGGCGGGGGCUCAACCCCCGGACUGCACAUGAUACUGCGAGACUAGAGUAAUGGAGGGGGAACCGGAAUUCUCGGUGUAGCAGUGAAAUGCGUAGAUAUCGAGAGGAACACUCGCGGCGAAGGCGGGUUCCUGGACAUUAACUGACGCUGAGGCACGAAGGCCAGGGGAGCGAAAGGGAUU